rnacentral:rRNA from 1 species
UGGGGAAUAUUGGACAAUGGGGGCAACCCUGAUCCAGCCAUGCCGCGUGAGUGAUGAAGGCCUUCGGGUUGUAAAGCUCUUUUGGCGGGGACGAUGAUGACGGUACCCGCAGAAUAAGCCCCGGCUAACUUCGUGCCAGCAGCCGCGGUAAGACGAAGGGGGCUAGCGUUGUUCGGAAUUACUGGGCGUAAAGCGAGUGUAGGCGGUUGCCGUAGUCAGGUGUGAAAGCCUUGAGCUCAACUCAAGAAAUGCACUUGAUACUGGGUGACUAGAGGACCGGAGAGGAUAGUGGAAUUCCCAGUGUAGUGGUGAAAUACGUAGAGAUUGGGAAGAACACCAGUGGCGAAGGCGGCUAUCUGGACGGUUACUGACGCUAAGACUCGAAAGCGUGGGGAGCAAAACAGGAUUAGAUACCCUGGUAGUCCACGCCGUAAACGAUGGGUGCUAGACGUUGGCGAGCUUGCUCGUCAGUGUCGCAGCUAACGCGUUAAGCACCCCGCCUGGGGAGUACGGCCGCAAGGUUGAAACUCAAAGGAAUUGACGGGGUCAUAGCUGUUUCCU